GUGAAAGUUUCCAAGGGCGCAUGGUGGAUGCCUUGGCAACAGGAGCCGAAGAAGGACGUGGGAAUCUGCGAUAAGCCUGGUGGAGUCGAUAACCGGACGUUGAGACCAGGAUUUCCGAAUGGGGAAACCCCGCACGACGUGUCGUGUGACCCCCGGUUGAACACAUAGACCGGGUGGAGGGAACGUGGGGAAGUGAAACAUCUCAGUACCCACAGGAAGAGAAAACAAAAGUGAUUCCGUUAGUAGUGGCGAGCGAACGCGGAUGGGGCUAAACCGUAUGUGUGUGAUACCCGGCAGGGGUUGCAUGUGCGGUGUUGUGGGCCCCUCCUUGUCAUGUCUGCCGGCAUGGCGCAGUGAGGUGCGGGCAUAUAGACGAACCAGUGUGGAUGCUGGACCGUAGAGGGUGAGAGUCCCGUAGUCGAAAUGUGUUCCGCCGCUGUUGGAGGGUUGCCCGAGUAGCACGGGGCCCGAGGAAUCCCGUGUGAAUCUGCCAGGACCACCUGGUAAGCCUGAAUACUACCUGUUGACCGAUAGCGGAUCAGUACCGUGAGGGAAUGGUGAAAAGUACCCCGGGAGGGGAGUGAAAUAGUACCUGAAACCAUGUGCCUACAAACCGUUGGAGCCUCCUUGUGGGGUGACAGCGUGCCUUUUGAAGAAUGAGCCUGCGAGUUAGUGAUACGUGGCGAGGUUAACCCGUGUGGGGAAGCCGUAGCGAAAGCGAGUCUGAAUAGGGCGAUUGAGUCGCGUGUCCUAGACCCGAAGCGGAGUGAUCUACCCAUGGCCAGGUUGAAGCGCGUGUAAGAGCGCGUGGAGGACCGAACCCACUUCAGUUGAAAAUGGAGGGGAUGAGCUGUGGGUAGGGGUGAAAGGCCAAUCAAACUCCGUGAUAGCUGGUUCUCCCCGAAAUGCAUUUAGGUGCAGCGUCACGUGUUUCUUCCCGGAGGUAGAGCUACUGGAUGGACGAUGGGCCCUACAAGGUUACUGACUUCAGCCAAACUCCGAAUGCCGGGAAGUGAGAGCGUGGCAGUGAGACUGUGGGGGAUAAGCUUCAUAGUCGAGAGGGAAACAGCCCAGACCACCGGUUAAGGCCCCUAAGCGUGUGCUAAGUGGGAAAGGAUGUGGAGUUGCUGAGACAACCAGGAGGUUGGCUUAGAAGCAGCCACCCUUGAAAGAGUGCGUAAUAGCUCACUGGUCAAGUGAUUCCGCGCCGACAAUGUAGCGGGGCUCAAGUACACCGCCGAAACCGUGGCAUUCAGUUUUGCUGGAUGGGUAGGGGAGCGUCGUUCACGAGGUGAAGCCAGCGGGUGACUUCUGGUGGAUUGUGGACGAGUGAGAAUGCAGGCAUGAGUAGCGAAAGACGGGUGAGAAACCCGUCCGCCGGAUGACUAAGGGUUCCAGGGUCAAGCUAAUCUGCCCUGGGUAAGUCGGGACCUAAGGCGAGGCCGACAGGCGUAGUCGAUGGACAACGGGUUGAUAUUCCCGUACCAGUGAAGAACCGCCCAUGCUGAGCCGGUGAUACUAACCGCCCGAACCAUCCCGAACCCCGUCUUUGACGGGGUCGGUGAUGGGGAGCGCGGGACCUGAA
rnacentral:rRNA from 1 species